GACACCUGUUGAAAGCAACGAUACAAUGGUAUUAUUCAUAUGAUGCUGAAAUUCAAGCCGAAAAAUAAACCUUAUGCCUGUCUCUUCUUCUCUUUGAUAGAUCGAAGCAGUUGACAGCGUGAAUCGAGGUCAAUCUGCUUGAGGAGCACUUCACAUACGGAAUGCCUCUAUCGAUGUUACUGUUUGCCUUUGUCUCUUGGAAAAGCGUGGGCGGACAUCGUCAUAUUUGGAAUUCUAGUUUGGUUCUCUGUCAGUUUCCUUUCCAGAGCUAUCGUUUGCAAAUACGGAUGAACCCUGCGUGCAUUGUUUAUUCAAUGAAAUAACUGGGCGUGAUGAGAAAUCUGUAUGCGAAUGUGCUGAGUUGCUGGCUAUAGAGUAUAUAGGGUGUCUAAAAAGAUGUUAAUUAUUUCUUUAUCACAUUUCCAUUGUACCAAUGUAGAUUAAUUUUGAUCUCUUGACAUUAUUUUUUCUAUCUUAUAGAAAAAUUAGAGAAAGAUAGAGUUUAACUGACAGAAAAAGAUGGUUUAAUCUAUAUCGUCUUUAAUCUAUGUCUUUUUAAUCAUUUGAUGUCCUUGUAUAACUUAUAUAUACAUAGAAUAGAAAAUUCCAGUUACUUUAAUAUUUUUGAUAUUUGUACGUAAAUUCUUAAAAAAUUGAUUGUAAACAAUUCAAGGAUGUAAGAUUGAAUGACAUGAAGCAUUAAAUAAUUUCUUUCAUGA